GUCCGAGUGGCGGAACGGCAGACGCGCUAGGUUGAGGGCCUAGUGAGGGCAACCUCGUGGGGGUUCAAAUCCCCCCUCGGACACCA
rnacentral:tRNA from 1 species